ACUCUUGUUGGUGAUGGUGGCAGUGAUGUUGUAGGUGGGCGCCCCGGCGCUGCUCUUGGUACGCAGGUCCAUGGUGUGCUCCCCGUCCACCAGCAGCGAAUCCCGGAUCACCGAGCACUUCUGGCCUCCCAACGUCAGCCCGUUCACCAGCAGAGCUCCGCGCUCCGGAGACACCAACGCGUUCACCUCGGCGGGCGUGAUGUUAGCGAACGUCUUCCCGGGGGUGGCGGCCCAAACGGCGGGGGUGUCUUUAUAACCCACGAUGGCGGCGUCCUGGCAGGUCCCAUCCGCCAUCAGGCUGUCCACGUACGGCGCCCACCCGCUCAUGGCGGCGGCGGACGGAGGGGCGGCGGCGGAAGGGGGGGCGGGGCCUCGCGGUGGGAAGGGGCGGGCCUCAGCCGGGCCGGGCGGCGCGUGCGCGGUGCGGG
rnacentral:lncRNA from 1 species